rnacentral:rRNA from 1 species
CCUACGGGAGGCAGCAGUGGGGAAUAUUGGGCAAUGGGCGCAAGCCUGACCCAGCAACGCCGCGUGAAGGAAGAAGGCUUUCGGGUUGUAAACCUCUUUUCUCAGGGACGAAGCAAGUGACGGUUCAUGAGUAAUAAGUCAAGGCUAACUACGUGCCAGCAGCCGCUGUAAUACGUAGGUGGCACGCGUUAGCCGGAUUUACUGGGUGUAAAGGGCGUGUAGGUGGGAAGGCAAGUCAGAUGUGAAAACCAUGGGCUGACCCUGUGGCGUGCAUUUGAAACUGUUGUUCUUGAGUACUGGAGAGGCAGACGGAAUUCCUAGUGUAGCGGUGAAAUGCGUAGAUAUUAGGAGGAACACCAGUGGCGAAGGCGGUCUGCUGGACAGCAACUGACGCUGAGGCGCGAAAGCGUGGGUAGCAAACAGGAUUAGAUACCCCUGUAGUC